UACGUAGGGGGCGAGCGUUGUCCGGAAUUAUUGGGCGUAAAGAGCGUGUAGGCGGUUCGGUAAGUCUGCCGUGAAACCCUGGGGCUCAACCCCGGGCGUGCGGUGGAUACUGCCGGGCUAGAGGGUGGUAGAGGCGAGUGGAAUUCCUGGUGUAGCGGUGAAAUGCGCAGAUAUCAGGAGGAACACCAAUUGCGAAGGCAGCUCGCUGGGACGUUACUGACGCUGAGACGCGAAAGCGUGGGGAGCAAACAGG
rnacentral:rRNA from 1 species